GAAGGCGCCACGAAGGGGCUUGAUCCCUGAGAGAUUUUUAAAAUUCUUAUUUUAAAAAGCCGAAGGCUUACCGCCUUUUAAGGGUGAGAGAUUUGAAGAAACAAAAGUUCAGACAGCGCUCCAAAUAGUAUUAACCCUGAGAGGUCCCUGGGGAAUUGGGGCGAUUCGUGAUUGGUCGAAGGGGUUUUCGGGACCGUGACACGUUCGUGCUGCUCCGAUCGCGACGCGACUAAUCCCAUUCGAUGUAGAAUGACUUUUAACACAGGUAAUGACUAAAUUUUUUAAGUAUUAACGAAAUUAACGAGAGAUUGGGAGCAAAAAGGGGAAAAAAGGGGAAACUUCUAAAAUAUAGGAAAAAAAUGUCUUCUAAAAUUAGAGGAUGCAACCACCUCUAAUUGAAAGAUGAACCUAUCAUUUAACGGAAAAGACUAAAUUUGCAUUACGUUAUUUGUGGUUCGCGAGAUAUUUGACCAAGAAAAAGACACACAGAUUGACUUUUAGUUGAUUGUGUGCUGACUAGCAGACGACGUUAAUUUGCAACAGCCAGUCUGCUUGUGGAAUGUGGCAUGGCCUACUGUGGGUAUUUUAAUUUGAUCGUUUGAAUGUUUGUGAUUGAUUUCAUCUUGUGAAGCACUAUGUUUAUAUUUCAAAUUUUAACUAUUGCAGCAUUAUAAUAAGGAAAGAAAAACAUGCCUCUUGUGUCACAACUGAUGGUUCCUUUACCUAUCAAAUCUGUACCACAUUGACAGAUGGUUCACAUGUAGGUGCUGAAUCAACUGGAAAACGUUCAAAAAAAGGGAAUUGAGAAUUACAUUUAUCAUCAGACAUACCUCCAUUUCAGAAAAUUUUAUCGUUAAGAUGACAAGUUGGAAAUUGAUUUACUGUUUUUACAUGUCACCUUAAGUGAUAUCAUUGCAUACCAGACUUUAUUCGGAUGCAAAACAAAUUUCCCUCAUUUAAAAGGCAUGCAUGAUUUAAUGGUUGAAAUUUUGUAACGAAGAAAAAAGAAAGCUGCAGCUGUGGAAAAUAGAAUUGACAGAUUACAUUCAUCAUCAGACGCAUUUCAGUUUCAGAAAGUUUUGUCUUGAAGAUGGCAAAAGUUGCCAGUCGAUUUACAUGUCACCUUAAGUGAUGUCAUAACAGGAGCUUGUCAUUUAGAAUUUAGAUAGUUUGUUACCAUACUUUAUUUGACAUGAUUGUUUUAGACAAAUUUCAUUUUGGUUUUUUUUCAGGCAUACUUCUAUUUCAGAAAAGUUGCCAGUCAAUUUACAUAAUACCCUAAGUGAUAUCAUAACAGGAGCUUGUCAUUUAGAUAGUUUGUUUCCAUAAUUUAUUUCACAUGAUUGUUUAUAGAGUAAUUUCAUUUUGGUUGUUUUUAUAUUUGUAGGUACUCUAAAGCAAGAGCCUUGACAAGCAAAAUUGUAUUUCAUUCUGGCCCAACAAAUAGUGGGAAAACAUAUCAUGUUCAUGAAUGGUUUUUUAAUUCAAAUAAGAAGUUUAUUGUAAUCCUUUAAUUUCUUUAUUAAAAAUCAGAAGUUUAUUGUGGUCCCUUAAAACUUUUGACAUCUAAGUAAUAAAAUUAAGGAAAUGAGUGCGGUGUCCAAUGUGAUUUACUAUUUGGAGAAUAAAGACAUUUUCAUGCUAA